GGCCCGCACAAGCGGUGGAGUAUGUGGUUUAAUUCGAUGAUACGCGAGGAACCUUACCAGGGCUUAAAUGUAGUGGGACAGGUCUAGAGAUAGACCCUUCUUCGGACUCAUUACAAGGUGCUGCAUGGUUGUCGUCAGCUCGUGCCGUGAGGUGUCAGGUUAAGUCCUAUAACGAGCGCAACCCCCUAUCGUUAGUUGCCAGCGAGUAAUGUCGGGAACUCUAACGAAACUGCCAGUGCAAACAUGUGAGGAAGGUGGGAUGACGUCAAAUCAUCACGGCCCUUACGUCCUGGGCUACACACGUGCUACAAUGGUAGGGACAGAGAGUUGCCAACCGCGAGGUGAGCUAAUCUUCAAACCCCUAUCUCAGUUCGGA
rnacentral:rRNA from 1 species